GAAAAUGUAACUGUACCUGAAGCUCACAGCAGGAAGUGAGGUCACAUUUGUUGGAGGACGUUGGUCUUUCUCCAUCGUUUCCGACUAUCAACCACCACCAACGCAUCGAGGUAACCGCGGUGUCCUGGUGGACAUAACGUCGAACAAGAGCUUGCAGAUGGAAAAAAGUGUCCCAGGUACUUUUGGAGAUGUGGCUGAACCUGGAGCUAUGCAGCCUGUGCUAGACGUGGAUCAUCAGAAGUACUGGCCACAAGAUUCAGGUCUGCUGACACCACACACCCUCUGGUCCGUGGACCUCAAGUUGACUCACUUGGACUGGAGCCCCGAAGCGACCCUGAUACACUUCCAGGCACAGUUCCCCACCACAUGUGAGCUAGAUUACAACAUCCUGCAGAAAGAAAUUCAGAAUGUACCAAAGACCAAAGCUCCCGUGGACGUUGGAGAGUUUUGCCUCGUGGAAGACCCGACUUCUGCAUGCUGGUUUAGAGGAAGAGUUCAAAACCAAAAUGGUGACUUAUUUGAUGUUUUCCUAGUGGACUAUGGGAACGUGUUGAGUGUCGACAUUACCCACAUAGCUUCCGGUUCAAACAAGCUUUUCAGCUUGCCUCCAAAAGUAGUUUGUGGCUUUCUAGCAAACGUGCUUCUUCAGAAUUGCGCUCACUCAGCAGUGGAGAGAUACUUAUCUAGCUUGAAGGGCAGAAAUGUUUCAGGUUUCAUUCAAGCUCUCCUUCCUCACAAAGUCCUCCUUUUUGAAGCUCCUGACAUAAACUGUGAGCUGGUCCGACAUGGCUUUGGGAAGCUCAUGGACAUAGAUACCUUCCUCCUCCUGGUUAGCUUGCUUACAGAGAUACCACUCAAACAAAACACUGAGCCAGUUCCUGGCUUACUCAUUGAGAAACCAAAAGUUCAAAGGUUUUGCCUCAAAUUGCCCAACUUGCAGGGAUUUCUGGACGUUUUUUCAUUUUUUGGGUCUAAAUUGAGUUGUGGUACACAUGCCAGUGUGCGAAUAACUGCUGCUGUCAACCCUAGGCUUUUUUACUGUCAGGUGGCCAGAAAGGAUGCCGAUCUCCGACAGAUGUCCAGAAAGUUGGCAAUGGUUUGUGAGUGCAGUGUCAACGAGCCCUCUCGAAGUGCUCCAGAGAACUUCGGUGUUCUGUGUGCAGUUAAAGGAAAGGAUGAGAAGUGGUACAGAGGUUUUGUGCAUCUUCUACCCAUCAGCUCUCAAGUAAGAGUUUUUUUCAUUGACUACGGAUUCUUUGACUUUGUAAAAAUUGACCAAGUCCAGAGGUUGCCACCCGAAUUUUACUCCACACCGAUGAGGGCGUUGCGUUGCUCGCUCCCCUCCCUGACUGAUCUGGAUGUCAAAGCUCAGCAGCUGGACUUCCUCAAGGCUGGUUUGCUUGGAGCUGUGCUGAAUGUGGAGGUCACAAGUUUUGAUAAAGAAGACCAUCUACAUACCAUCACUGUGUUGGGUUCUGAUUCACACGUGGAAGAGCCAGAGCCCACCCAGAAUCUUUCUACUCCGCCAGUUUUGAAGGUUGAGAAAAAGUCGCCUCGGACUGGCUUCACAAACUACAUGAAAGUCAUGAAUGAAUCAUGCAAUAAAAUGAUGGAGGAAGAGAAAGUGCAGGUUGGUUCUACCUUUGCCGGCUAUGUAGUACAUGCAGAAAGUCCAAACCAAUUCUGGGUCAGAACACAGAAACGAAACGAGGAAUUUGAGGAAAUGAUGUCAGAAAUGGAGAAACAUUUCAGUGAAGUGGAGUUGGAUAAAGACACGCUGCAGAAUCUGGAGGUUGGGGCAGUCUGCUGUGCGCUGUAUGAGAAGGACAUGCAUUUCUACCGCAGCGUCGUGAUGGAGGUUCUUGAUCAUGGAGCAGAGGUCUUAUUCACCGACUUUGGGAAUGUUGAAAAAGUACCCCAUAUGUUGAUCAAGAAGUUACCAAAGACAUUAGCCAACAUACCACCUUUUGCUGUUUGUUGUACACUUAAUGUUUUUCCACUAGAGGAGGUCUGGGCCUCAACCACGUGUGACUUCUUCAGAAAAGCUGUGUCAGACCAGUCACUGAGAAUUCAUCUUGUCCAGAUAAAAAAACACAAAUGUGUUGUUGAGCUCUUUGAUAUGGAAAGUAAAAGCGUCACUGAGCUGUUGAGGUCAUCUGGACUAGUGGAUUACAUUCCAGUAGAGGCGGUUAAACAAAAGGGCAAAAACCAGACAAAAGAAACCUGUCAACAACAUUCUGCAGGAAGACACAUGAGUGGAAAGUCAGAGCAGUGGGGGGGUUGUCAAGAGGACAAUGACGUGUGCACAACAGAAACCAGGAAAGUCACUCAUAACUUCAAAGCUUUGAACAUCAAACCAGGGUUUGAGUUUCUUGUUUACUGCUCAAAGAUCAGAUCUCCAUCUGAUUUCUGGUGCCAGCGUCGAGAUCAAGGUCCAGCUUUGGAGAAACUAAUGGAUGAUCUUCAGAAUCAUUACUCAGCUCACGCUGUCCCCCUCCAGCCUGGGGAGGCAAGCUGUGUUGCUAAGUCACCACAAGAUGGAAAAUGGUACAGGGGCCUCAUAGAGGAGAACCGGAAUGGUUCUGCCACAGUAAUGUUGGUUGACUAUGGUUCCGUCAUCAAAGUCCGAGAGAACCAUGUUCAGGCAAUAUUACCAGAGUACAUUCAUUUAGAGAGACAAGCUUUCAGGUGCAGUCUCUACAGUCCGCCGGAGCAGGACUGGAGUCCAGAGGUGAGUGACUUGCUGAAAGACUUUGUCCUAAAGAACACUGAUCAUCUUACAUGCCAAGUUGUCUCCCAAAUAAAUGUGAAACACAAAGGCCUGUGGAACGUUGUCCAUCUCUCUAAUGCCCAAACAAAAGCUAGCGUAAUAGAUACACUCCCAGAACCGGGACCUGCAAAAUCAAUCUCAAUAACACAUCCGUUUGACAUGACUCCUGAAUCCUUUGUUUACUCUUCAUUCGAUCUAAGCUCUGGAACUGAAGAACACGUCUACGUCUCGUACAUCAGCAGCCAGUCUGAGCUCUUCUGCCAUCUGGAGAGAAACACUGAGAUUAUUGAAGAGCUUGAGAAAAAAAUCUCUGAGGAGAGUGAAAAGAUGAUGCAGGACAGCUCAAGUGCUGUUGUGGAAAAGCUUUGCCUGGCAAAAUACCUGGAUGGCAAAUGGUACCGGGGCUGGAUGUUGCCUGUCAGCCUACCUCUGCACAUUAGUGUUUUCUUUGUAGAUUAUGGAAACAUAAACUUCUUGGAGAAAACAAAAGUCAUGUUUAUUCCUAGGAAUUGUGAAGAUCUCUUGUUCACACCGAUGCAGGCGGUGAGAUGCAACCUUUACCUUGUUCCCAAGGAGGAGCUCUAUGCAGACGUGAAGGAAUGGCUGAACAACGCCACCAUGAACAAGCUGCUGAGAGCUGUUGUUCAGGCAAAGAGGGAAGACGGUGCCUUUGAUGUUGAGCUGUUCGAUGGUGAGGUCAGCAUAAAUGAGAAGGUGAAGGAGCUCAUUCUUAGCCUCUCACAGAAACCAAAACCAGUCAGGUUGGCAAGCAAAAGCCACAAUAAACCAAGUUACACCAAGACAACCAGCAAAAGUAAAAAUCUACCUACAGUUCCCGCGGCUGAUGCCCCCAAAGGGUCUGCACCCAAAAAGACAAAAGGUUGCAUGUGUGUAAAGUAUUCGAACAAGAAAUCGAACCGUAAACAACAGAAUGGGACCCACAGAAAGAUGUCCACGUCUGUAAAACCUCAGGCCAGGUCCGAGUUAAAACAGAGUAAAUAUCCAAAAGAAAGGUCAAAUAAAAUGCAGCCAAAGGAAACAAAAGCAUGCCAGCAGCCGCACUUCCUAGAGAAAGACAUAAGUCCAGGAUUCAGGGCCAAAUGUUUUGUAUCACACGUUGAUUCUGUUUGCAACUUCUUCCUGCAGCUGUCAGAUGAUGUACCUGGCAUCUUCAAAAUGGCCGAAGAUCUCAGCUCUGUUGUCUUUAGCCAGACUGGUCAAUCUUUUCAAGUUGGUGAUGCUGUUUUGGCAGAGUUUGAAGAGGACGGUGCUCUGUAUCGUUCAGUUGUAAAGAAGAAGGAAGGAAGUUCUUGUUUCCAGGUGGAGUUUGUGGAUUAUGGAAAUUCGGCGGUUGUUGGGACAGAAAAGAUGUACCUGCUACCUGAAGAGUUCAUGUCUCAGCCAAGAUUCAGUAUACCGUGCCUGCUGUUGGACACAAAGGCGUAUGAAGGUGAUGCUUCCUUCAUCGAUGCAGUGUUAGAGAGGCCACUUUAUGUGGACUUUGUCCGUCAACAUGGAAGUCAGUGGCAAGUGAAGCUUGAGGUUCUUGGGGAAGAUGGACAUGAUGCAGCACCUGAGAGCAGCACUUUAUCCAAACAUGAGUGUCUGAGUUUACCUGAAACCAAUGAGGUAAUUUCCUGUGAACUGAAACUUGGAGGACAAGGUUUCCUAAAUGAAGAUGUGGCAGAUACAGUAUCUACUGUGGAAGGUAGAAGUGUGAAGCCAGAACCAAAACCUGUUAAUAUGUCGGUCAAACGUAAAGUAAAAACCAUCAGGCGCUUUAAGCAAACACACUCCAGGGUAAAGAGUCACAGGAAAACCAAAAUAUUCUCUGUCAAAGUUCUGAAAGAGGAUCCAGAUGUUGUUCUUCCUCCAGCUGUUGAACCCAGAGACACAGAAAAUGGAACCAUUCUUUCUAUUCAGAGUGACGGCAGUUUCUACGUCAGGCUAACUAAGAACGAGGAUUUGCUGACGGCGCUGGAAAAGUGGAUCAUCGCUAACCCAAACAAAUGUGAAACCGUUGCUGAAGCUGAUGUCAAACCGGGCCUGAAGUGUUUAGUCCAGAUCCUGGACGACGUGUGGCAGAGAGCUGUCGUGCAGCAUACUAGUGAAGGAAAGUUUAAGGUCUUCCUGGUGGAUCACGGAAUAACAAAAGACAUUCCGAGCAGCUCCGUUUUACAGCAGAGCCCUGACCUCACAACGUUCCCAAAGCUUGCGUUGUUGUGCAGGAUGAACAGUUCAGACUUUGCUCCUCAGGGCUGGGGUCCAACUCUAAACCCAUUAAUAGGCACAGAGGUCCAGCUGAUGUUUGUGAGUUACACUGAGCCUGGGAACUUCUGGGUGGUUGAAGUAGUCAUGAAGGACCGUUCCCUCAUCCUGCAGUCCGAAGCCUCACAUCAGCAGAAUAAGGACCCACCUACUGAAACCCAGAGUGAAGCAUCAGCAGAAGGAACAGCUGCUCCCCAACAUCUCCUCUUUGCUCCUGUUGAAACAGAUAAAGCCUAUUCUGGGUUUGCAACUGCAGUUUCAACUCCCUUUCACUUCUGCGUUGUUCUUGAAGAUUUGCUCCUCGUCAUGAACCAGAUAUCCACUAUGUUGGCCAGCCUACCUUCACAGAUGCCGUCUCUUCCUAAGACCCACCUCGUUCCAGGUACUUGCUGUCUGCUGGAAUCAGAAUCCAAAAAGAUGCGUUGCAGAGCUGAAAUCAUACACGCCGACACAACAAUUGUCCUUAACCUCGUUGAUUAUGGCCACUAUGAAUGCAUACCGUAUCACGACCACUCCAAGCUGAAGAAGCUUAAUGCAGAUUUAACGAGCCAACCAAAGGUGAUUUACCCCUGCGUCCUACAAGGAGUGAUGCCAGUCAGUGGGGAUGGACAGUGGACUGAUGAGGCAGCAGUUUUCUUCCAGGACUGUUUGUGCCAGAAGAACCUUCAGAUCUUCUUUAGAGAGUCCGUGUCCUCAGAGUGGAGAGUGGACAUUCUUGCUGAUGACGUUGAUGUUGCCGACGAGCUGGUGGAGGCUGGACACGCUGCCUACACAGAGGUCAUGCUAGGACUCAGGUUCGAGAGAGGUUUAUGCAAACCUGAAGGUUCUGACAGCAAAGGAGAGGAGGAUGAAGCUGAACUUGGAGAAAAUCGAGACAGUGCGAAGUCCAGAUCAAGUCAGUGCAAGUAUGAAUGAUUUGUCUAAAAAUAUGUAUUUAAAAUACCCACCAUUUAAACAGAUGUUUUCACAUGGAUUCAGUAAAAUCAAAGCACCACAGAACUGAAGAACGUCAUUCAGAUGAGGAAAGUUUUAAUGCACUCCUCCCAACACCACUUUAGUUUAGUGGCCAUUUAUUACGGUUUCUAUGGUUAGUACAGUGAGUUUAGACUGAAUUCAUUAUAAAAUACCUAAAACAACCUGAAGUAUUUUCAAACAUUGAAAGUAGACUUUAUGAAAUGAAACUUGUUUUCUUGUGCUUCAGGUCUCCUGAUGUGAAACGACAGAGCAGAAGAUUUUGUAGUUUUAGGUGUUGCAUUUAAUCAGAGUUGGAUGCAUUAAACUUCGCUUUAUUUUGGGGGGAAAACAUUUUUGCUUCCUAAGUAGUGAUCAAGGUUUCCAUCGAUGUUGGUUUUAUUUUUAAUGGCACUUUCUAUUGUUUGCUUUUCAUUUAAAUAAAUUUCAAUACGUUUUUGAGAUAUUUUAGAAAAUGUCUUGCUUUGUUUUACCACCAGGUGAAGCUGUGGUCUUGUUAAACCGUUUAUAGUUGACAUUUACAAACGUGAUUAAGACUUUUUUCAAUAAAGCAUUUGUGAUUCGU